GNUCAGGACGAACGUUGGCGGCGCGCAUAAUGCAUGCAAGUCGAACGAAGUCCCACCCUUCGGGGUGACGACUUAGUGGCAGACGGCUGAGUAACACGUGAGUGAUCUGCCUUUGGGUGAGGGACAACAGAGGGAAACUUCUGCUAAUACCUCAUACGAUCCAUGAUCUAGGGUCUUGGAUGAAAGGUGCCGGGUAACUGGUUGCCGCCCUUAGAUGAGCUCGCGGCCUAUCAGGUUGUUGGUGGGGUAAUGGCCUACCAAGCCUAAGACGGGUAGCUGGUGUGAGAGCACGACCAGUCAGAGGGGGACUGAGACACGGCCCCCACUCCUACGGGAGGCAGCAGCAGGGAAUCUUCCACAAUGGGCGAAAGCCUGAUGGAGCGACGCCGCGUGAGGGAUGAAGGCUCUAGGGUCGUAAACCUCUUUUCUUAGGGAAGAGCAAGGACGGUACCUAAGGAAUAAGUGACGGCUAACUACGUGCCAGCAGCCGCGGUAAUACGUAGGUCACAAACGUUGUCCGGAAUUAUUGGGCGUAAAGGGUCCGUAGGCGGUUCGGUAAGUCUCCUGUGAAAUCUUCAGGCUCAACUUGAAGAGGUCGGGGGAUACUGCUGAACUUGAGACUGACAGAGGCAAGUGGAAUUCCCGGUGUAGUGGUGAAAUGCGUAGAUAUCGGGAGGAACACCAAUGGCGAAAGCGGCUUGCUGGGUCAGUUCUGACGCUGAGGGACGAAAGCGUGGGUAGCAAACCGGAUUAGAUACCCGGGUAGUCCACGCCGUAAACGAUGAAUGCUAGGUUUUCGGGGUAUCGACCCCCUGGGAGCCGCAGUUAACGCGAUAAGCAUUCCGCCUGGGGACUACGGUCGCAAGACUAAAACU
rnacentral:rRNA from 1 species